GUGAUUUCAGGUCACAUAACCCCAAACCGGAACUCCUGUUUUUAGGGUUACAUGCAGUCAGUUUGAUACUUAGCACACAUUGUUGAGUGCAUGCUGCCUAGGAUUUGUAAAAUACAUUGCAAAUGGUUGGUUUUGGUAUCAACAUGAAGGUAUAUUUGUAAGCAAUAAGAAAAUAAGCCAUUUUUGUGCUCUACUUUUUGUGUUGAUGGUUCCCGGCUUUGAAAGUAGGUCAUACUAUUUGAGCCCAAAAUGGUUGUCUGCACAGCUGUCAAAACCGGUUUGCCUUUUCUAAGGUAAUUAUUUUGAGUUUGCGCGUAUAGAAUUUAAUGACAUGCAUUUUUUUCAAAAGAUUAUGCAUUAAUCUUUCCAAUGAUGUAUGAUGAUAUAGUGGGUAUGCGCUUGAUCAUGGUAAAAAUUGAUAUCGAACUUCAACUAUUUUAUAUGUAAUAUAGAAGGAAAUUAAUUGCGCAUGCGUAACCUUUAAGCACAUCCGACCAAGUUAGUCGUCUGCCAGAAUUUUGACAUUUGAACAUCAAAAACUCUCUGUAUUGCAAAACAUAACUGCCAGAUGUCAUUUUGACCCAAAUUAGGGCUGUUUGCAAUUGGGCUGUUGCACUUAGGGUCAUAAGGGGGGUAAAUGCUGGAAAAUCACACCGAAACCUGUUCCGGAGACAUAUUCUAAGACUAGUUAAACACCCGGCGGUGUCGAAAUGGGUCUAUAGCUCUGCCUGAACUGUCGUCCAAUUGGUUUACAAGUCCGGCUGAAGUGACCGGCCAUCAAAAACUGUACAGCGUGACUGAUUCGGAGACGGCCCUCAACACUCGCACAGUCGUGUCGAGAGGAUCGGUGUCUUUGCAGAUUACACGGAAUUGAGCACCCGGGCCAGACUGACACUUUCCGGAGCCUGCCCGAGACGGAACUCGAGCCGAGGAAUUAU